AGCCCGAGGCAGGGGCUCUAACUCACAGACUGUGAGAUCAUGACCUGAGCUGAAGUCUGAUGCUUAACCGACUGAGCCACCCAGGUGCUCCUCUAAUAUGUUUUUAAAACGCUAUUCCUAACCUAUGAUUCUAAAUUGAUUUCCCCACCCAAUGACUUGGGACCCUGGUGCGUGCAUUAGGCACAUCUUUAGGACCUGGAUGGCUAUGUGGACAAGACACAGUUUUCCUCAAUAUGGGGAGGUGGGAAACCCACCCCGAGUUUGUCUAUCUGGGACGGGAUGGAGAGUCCAGAAUCCAUUAAGGACUGCAGACUGAGGUCAGAGAGAAAAACAGCUAGACAGGCCUUCUUUUCCACUCAGAGAUGCAGGCAGAGAGGUUUUGUUAGACUCUGUGGGCCAAACCUGGGACAUGGGAACAAAUGGUGGUGGGUGAGGAUAUGAAACUGGGGUUGAUGGAAGCCCGGGUUAGAGAUGUAAGUUCUUCGCGGGCUGGGGCUGUUUGUGUGCUCAGAUGUGAAUGCAUUUGGGAGGGAAUGGCAUGGGGGAGCACCAUUCUUGGCAGGGUGGGUCCAGGGGCGGACUGCGGUUGUCCAGGGGAAAUGACCUCAGUGCAGAUGCACCUUCUGCUGUGGGAGAGCCCACAGGAUGUUCGGGUGGGUGGAAGUAAGGGGGUGGGAGGAGUGGUAGUUUGUGGGCACAAAUUAUGUUCCUGGCAGGCAUCUGUGAUGUCUCUUUCUAAGUAACUGGCCUACAGACCCAGAUUGGUGGAGGCCCCAGCUCUUGGGUGUAGGUUUUGUAUGUCUGAGAUGGAAUCCCGUACGUAGGUGGAAUCUGGUGGUGAAGAGAUGGGGUCGGGGAGGCAGGUAGGACCUAUGAGGUGUGGCUCUAGGUUAGAACAAGCUUGAAGAUAGAGUCAGAGUGUCCCGCUGAGUCUGCCUUAGUAUACUUCUGUGUUUAUUAGGCAUAGUGGUUUGGGCUGCUGGAUUCAGGGACCUGUUAUGGGUGGAGGGCUGCUCCGUGAGUGUUUAGACCAGGAGUCCCUGAAUCCAGUGUGAGGCUGCGUCGUGCUUGAGCUGAAGACCCUGGGUUGGUGGAGGUGGCGGUUGGUUGCUGCAGAUUUUGGUUUCCGACGGGAGUGUGCUCGGAGUUCAAGCCUGGAUGUUUCCGCAGGAGGCGAGCUUAGGGACAGGUGUCCUGAGGCCCAAGGCCGUUUAAGAACCAGCUGAGGCGGCAGAUCAGAGCCUGGGAGGCGCAGAGCCGCGGCACCACUCGUUGUGGCUCAUGCGCAUGCGUUGGGCAGAAUCUGGGUGGGAAUCUCUAGUAGCACGGCUCUCCCGGAAGCGGAAAGAGGGCGCCAUCCGGGUGUGGGGGUGUGGCCUCGAUUUGCCAUCGCGCAUGCGCGGCAAUGGAUGGGCGGCUCCUGGCGGACCUAGACAUACCGGAAGCUGGGCAGGUAUACCGGAAGUGGGGCCGGUGUACCGUAGUGGGGCAGGUGAACAGGCCUUCCUACCUGGAGCUUCAUCACUCGGGACUUCCCCUAAUGGCAUCCCUGGUCCGAUCCUUCGGGGCAGGGGGUUUCCCGCUGUCAGCCCAGGGCGUCUGAGCUGCUGGCCUCGUGACCCCGCGUGACACGUUUCAGGGCCGUCCCCAGUUUCUUUUCCCAGCCCGGGUCCUCCUUGGGGGAAAUUCCACCUGCGAUGCCCUUCGUGUGUCUGGUCACUGGGAUGAAAUCAGGAGCGAGGAAAGGUGUUUCCAUUGCGGCCUCAUGAACGCGGAUAAUUGCAAACGUCCCUGGGAGACGCGACUGUAGCAGGAAGAUACGUGGUAUUGGGGAACAUCAUCAAAAAGACAUGAUUGCUGAUUGACCCGCGACCUGGACACAGACACUUGGAGGCUCCUCACCCCCUCCCCUGUCCUCGGAAUGUAGGUUGUGCUUGCUUUUCCUCUUCCCAGAGGCUGCUCCAAGGAUGUAGUCUUGAAAUGGUGAUGUGGUGUUUGAAAACACCUGCAUGGUAUAUGUGACUAAGCACAGUUAAGUCCUCUCUAUAAACUGAAGAUUUGGAGGGUGAGUCUGGGGAUCCACUCAUCUUUCAGUUGCCCACGACAAGCCUCAUUUGUAAGUUCCCUUUGCUUCAUAAAAUUGCCACCUACUAACCAGGAGUGGCCUGUCUUUUUCUUUGGUCUCUCCCUGCCCUCCAAGUACUGUAGAUGAUUUUAGAUCACACCAGGGAAGCUCCCAGGAGGGUUGCGAACCAAUUGGCAAGAGAGCCAGAAGACAGAAGAGAUGGGCCUUGGAAAAGAAGCAUCCAUGGGGGAAAUCCAGUGUUGGCCAUCGACCUCUUUUUGGGGAGGAGUGGCCUGUAUGUUAGAUACUUGUGGAGCAUCCUCUGAGUACAGGGAUGCCCUGAAAAUGCCGGCUGGUGUGCUUGUUGGAGCAAUUGUGCAUUGUGCUCUGCAGCAAGGAAGUGAGGCAUGUGGUGGCCACAGUGGGCUGGCCUAUACUAAUGGGCAGUUCGACUGGCCAUCGAUGCCUAACUGGAGGCUGAGGCUCAUGUCUGGAAGUCAGAAGACAAGCUAAGAUUAGAAAAGGACAUGAGAAUGUCCACUAGGCUGAUGGCUCUGGGGCUGGCAGACACGAUGGGAGUUGAAGGACAAUACGUUGGCGAGCUUCUCAUGCCCUUUUGCAAAGCUGGGAGGGUGCAAGGAGCUUCAGACAAAGGCAGUGCUUGUGACUAAGUCCAAUUGGCCAGCUAAGACAUUCAAUCCCUGGGAGAAUGAUGGGAAUGAGGCGGAAGAGAUUGUGGUGAUUGACAGGGAAGUGGAUGGAAUGCCCCGUGCCGUUGCACCCCUAACACAACAAAAAACAAAAGCAGAGCAACAGCAACCCUAAGCAGUGGGACAGCCCCCAGUUCAGGAGACAUCGAUGAUGAGAGAAUACACUCCAACUGUGCUUAUUGAUACAGAUGCCAGUUUCAGCAAAAGGCCAGGGAAGAUAUCCUGGCAUGGUUAGUGGGGCUAUAGGAUACCAGGGGUGGUGGUGUUUCUCUGACCCAGCAGGAGGCAGAGAAAACGAGCAACAUCACCACACACCUUGCCCUCUGGCAGCACCUGUAUGGUGCCCGAGAGAUGCAAAGUACUCACUUCCUUAUAGAUUGGAUUAUUUUAUCCUGUAGGGGAGGCUUGGCCCGAUGAGGGGUAUCUCCCUGGGCAUGUAGGAAUCUGGAAAUCGAUAGAGGAGGUACGGCAAAUUUUCAGGAAUCUGGGAAUGAGACAGGUGAUCAAUGCUUCUGUCUUUUCAGGCCCUUUUCAGACCACGUUCACUGCAUGGACCAAAGCCAAGAUUCUCCAGUCUGUCCCCAACACUGAUAUCCAUACUGAGCCCACGUAUGAGAUAAGAUGUUUACCAUGUUGGGCAAUCCAUUGCUCAACUGGAGGAAACGGACAGAUCCUGGGAACAGACAUGGGCUAGAGAUAGAGGGGAGCCAGGAAAGCUAAAAGGCUAUCCCAACCUGCUCUCAAGGAUCCAGUCAGAAUAACCUGGAAGCAAAUAUAGUGUGACCUCAUUGCUGUGGGGACCCUGCCUAAACAGAUAGACUGGGUUGGCCUAUGGAAAGCCUUAGAACCUGAGGAACAGUUUAGAUCUGUCUCAUCCACUCCUGUCAUCCCUGAUGUACCAGAGGCCUCAGGGAUACAUGCCUGUUUGGGAUGGGUGUGUCCCUCACCCCGGGUAUAAGAUGCAGGCAAGAUUGCCUCCAGGUGAGGGCCACUGGAGUGAUCAGAGGCCCUAUGUUCAUUGGUCUUCCAGAAAUCCAUAAAAGGUGACAGCGUGGGUGGAUACUGAAGCUAAAUGUACUCUAAUAUAUGGUAACCCUGAGAGGUUUUCUGCCCCUUUCAGUGCCAUCAGUAGUCAUGGAGGACAGACAGUUAUGGUCAGAAAGGUCCUCUUGGACAUCUUCUCUGCCCUCCCUGCGACUAUGGGGGUUUUUAUCUCUCCAAUACCAGAGAACAUAUUGGGCAUUGAUAUUCAUCCUACAAGAUCAGACUCUGCAAACCUCUGAUACCUCCAGGUUAGAGGAAUCAAACCCAUGCUGAGGAGAAGCACCAACUGGGAACCAGUAAGCCUGCUGUCCUCACAUAGGAUGGUAAAUGUCAAACAAUAUAAAUUUCCUGGGAUUAUAGGGAAACCAUCUAGAGCUACACUACUGCCCAUAGUAGUUUCAACAGCCCUGUAUGACCAGUAAAAAAACCAGAUGGCUCAUGGCAGAUGAUGAUGGAUGACUGGAGACUAAAUAAGAUAGUGCCCAACAUUGCCAUCAUCUUAAACACCUUAGCCACCGUCCUAGGAAGGUAUCGUGCUGUGCUAGACUUAGCAAAUACCUUUUUCAGUAUACCCCUGGCCACUGAGUCACAAGGUCAAUUUACCGUCACAUAAGAGGGGCAACAAUAGACCUUCGAAGCGCUCCUCCAAGGUUACCUGCAUAGCCCCACUGUGUGUCAUGGGAUGGUAGCCCGAGACCUGUCCCUGUUGUCCUUCCCCACAUCAAUGAGAUGGGCCCAUGAUAUUGAUGUUGUAAUAUUAACAUAGAAAGAGCUGCCUCUCCUGCCAGGACAUCUUGCAGGCUUUGCUGGAGCAUCUGUGAGGGAGAGGAUAGGCAACGGACCGACAGAAAAUUCAAGGCCCAGACACUGCUGCGAAGUUUCUGGGAGUUGUCUUGUUGGACGGUGUCGAUGGGGCACUGCGACAAAAACAGGAGAAGGAGACAAUACCGCCAAGACUUUGGUCUAAAUGAAGGAGACAGAAAGCCGAUACACCCCCAUGGAGCACACAGUAUUCUUCCAGGUGGAGCGUCUCACUAAGGAACAACACAUUGUCAUGAGAACUUCCCAGUCAAGGGGCCUGGAAGAUGUUAUAGCACACACAGAAGCCUUUACUAAGUUCACUCAGCAAGCCCUGAAUGAUAGCCAGUGAAACCUACCAUUACUGAACACCGAAUGACUGUAAUAGAAAAGUCAUCCCACAUAGGAUGGCCUUGGACAUUAGUUCUGCCUUGCAAAGAGACACCUGUGCCAUUAUCCAAACAGAAUACAUGUGUUCCUAUCUGAUAAGUCUGCUAAUGUAUCAUCUUUACCAAAUGACACAGGGACACAAGUAAUCGCCCUGAGUGAUACAACCCCCAUUCUAGGGGAUUUAAUAAAUCAAUGGUUUGGAUCCUGGGGCUCUUGAUAGAAACGUCACUGAUUUUGGAUAUUAUAGUCUUAAUCUGCCUCCAAUGUGGCCAGAUAGCCACCAAAAGAGCCACCUCCACACUAAUGAAACCCCUUGUUGACCACUCAGGGCUUAUUAUGGAAGAGGGGGAAGAUGAGAUUCUAAGCUGAUCACGAGGGUUGAAGUGUUGGGGAACGCAACAGUACAUGAUUUCCAGUUGACCCACGAGCUGGAUAGGGGCACUCGGAAGCUCCUCACCCCUUCCCUGUCCUGGGAAUGUGGGUUCUGCUUGCCUUUCCUGCUCCCCCAGGCUGCCCCAAGGACACAGUCCUGAAAUAAUGAGGUGGUGUUGAGAACGGUAUACUUGACAGCCCAGUUAGGGCCUCUUUAUAAUCUUUUAACAUUUGGAGAGCAGGUACGGGGAUUCAUUCACCUUGCUGGUGCCCAAGACACGCCUCAUAUGUAAGUUUCCUUUGCUUAUUGAAACUGCCACCUGCCAACCUGGAGUGGCCUGCCUCAUUCUUCAGUCUCUCCCUGCCCUCUGAGUACUGGGGCUGACUUCAGAUCACACGAGGGAGGCUACCAAGAGGGGUGCGAACCAACCUGUGGUUUGCAAAUGUUUAUUCCCAGUCUUUAGCUUGUGUUUUACCCACUUAACAGGGUUUUUCUCAGAGCAAAAGAUUUGAAUUUUGAUGAAGUCCAAUUUAUCAAUUUUUCCUCUUUUGUUCCUGUUCCUGGUGUCGAGUCUAAAAACUCAGCUUUAAAGAAUGAAAUCUGGCCAUUCGCAGCAACGUGGAUGGAACUGGGGGGUAUUAUGCUAAGUGAGGUAAGCCAGGCAGAGAAAGACAGAUACCAUAUGUUUUCACUCAUAUGAUCUU